rnacentral:rRNA from 1 species
AGAUUGAACGCUGGCGGCAUGCCUUACACAUGCAAGUCGAACGGCAGCACGGGAGCAAUCCUGGUGGCGAGUGGCGAACGGGUGAGUAAUAUAUCGGAACGUGCCCAGUCGUGGGGGAUAACGCAGACGAAAGCUGUGCUAAUACCGCAUACGAUCUAUGGAUAGAAAGGCGGGGAUCGACAACGACCUCGCGCGAGUUGGAGCGGCCGAUAUCAGAUUAGACUAGGUUGGGUAGGGGUAAAACGCCUAACCAAGGCGAACG